rnacentral:rRNA from 1 species
UACGUAGGGUGCGAGCGUUAAUCGGAAUUACUGGGCGUAAAGCGUGCGCAGGCGGUUUUGUAAGUCUGUCGUGAAAGCCCCGGGCUCAACCUGGGGAAUUGCGAUGGAGACUGCAAGGCUUGAAUCUGGCAGAGGGGGGUAGAAUUCCACGUGUAGCAGUGAAAUGCGUAGAGAUGUGGAGGAACACCGAUGGCGAAGGCAGCCCCCUGGGUCAAGAUUGACGCUCAUGCACGAAAGCGUGGGGAGCAAACAGG